AUCAGGUUGCAUGUAGCUCCGUACACAUGCUAAGCUGCAACUAUGCUACUGGAAAGGAGACGAAGUAGAACUACUCGCUGUGUCGAGGGGAUGAAAGCACCGCAUCAGGUUGCAUGUAGCUCUGUGUGACGAGUCAUCGCUAAAGCUCCAUCCCUUCUUCAUGUGUCCACUGAAAUUAACCAAACAAGAAAUAGGUUUCGAUUUAGCUUCAUCAUAUCAAAUAGAUUC
rnacentral:lncRNA from 1 species